GAUGAACGCUAGCGGCAGGCUUAAUACAUGCAAGUUGAGGGGCAGCAUGAUAUACGCGAGUAUAUUGAUGGCGACCGGCGGACGGGUGAGUAAUAGGUAGGAGACCUACCUCAUACAGGGGGAUAGCAUAGAGAAAUCUGUGGUAAUACCCCAUGAGGUUAUAUGAAUAGAGGCAUAUAAUCAAAGCAUAAGCGAUUAUGCGGUAUGAGAGGGGCCUACUGACCAUUAGCUAGUUGGUGAGGUAAGGGCUCACCAAGGCGAAGAUGGUUAGGGGUUUUGAGAGAGAGACCCCCCACAUUGGAACUGAGAGACGGUCCAGACUCCUACGGGAGGCAGCAGUAGGGAAUAUUGGGCAAUGGGCGAAAGCCUGACCCAGCCAUGCCGCGUGAAGGAAGACGGCCUUAUGGGUUGUAAACUUCUUUACUACGCGAAUAGAGGUUAGUACGAGAUACUAAUAGGAAGGUAGUGUAAGUAAAAAGCACCGGCUAACUCCGUGCCC
rnacentral:rRNA from 1 species